CCGCAAAAGAAAACGUUUGGGCCUGUCUCGUUUCUCCCUUGCCCAUGACUCCGUGAGGCGACAGGAGGGUUCGAGAGAGGCGAGCAGUGCUCAACAGAUCCACCAUGGCGGCGCCCCGACAUGUCCACCACAUCGGCGCAAGUUGGAUAAAAAAUUGGAAGCCUCCAGGCCGAUCUGAGGUGUGUUGAGACUGCUGCAGAUCUAGAAGAACCAAUUGAAACCUCUCUAGAAAUGGUACGAAAGAGACAACGAACAGGUGAUGCUAUUAUGUGCAUGAUUGGAGAAAUGAGGACUACUUUUAAGGAUGCUUUGAAGACAACUGAUCCACUUCCAUUGCCAAAGGUCACUACUCCUUCUAAAACACUUGCUGCACUUGAGUUGAUACCAGAGUUGGCAGAAGCAGACAUGUUGCGCUCUCCGGAAAGUUGAUUCUUAAUGAGCGCUUGUUUGAAGCUCUAAUGGAGAUGCCCAUGCACAUGAGGAAGGCUUGGCUGCUAUUAAUGCCUUGAAGUUAUGCAAGUUAUGCUUUCAUGUUUGUCUUGUUAAAGUUGGACCUAUCUAUAGUAUUUUGUUUGUUGCAUUUGGAACUAUGUAAUGUUGAACUUCAACUUAUUUGAACAAUUGUGUUGUUACAUUUGGAACCAUGUGUCGUUGAGUAUUUCAGAUACCUAUUUAAACUAUAUAUGUGUUGUA